GUCGCGCACGCGCCCUGACGGAGUCCCAGCAAGCGCGGGCCCGUCUUCCUCGCGUCUCCUCGGGGAGCGUCGUCGCCGCCACCCUGGGCGCUGAGAGCUUGCGGAGCCGAGCCGCUGUCGAGUCCCAGCGGAAAGAAGCCCAAGGUGCCGGAGAAGCCCGGUCGUGGACGUUGUUGCUCCCUCAUCUUCGAGACCCGCACGCCCUGCGGAGAGGAAAUGACAGGCACGCCGCGACCGUGGGGCGGGGCUCGCACGAGCUCCGGGUUUCCAGAGGCAGGGGCCGGGGCCGUAGAAGGCAGAGUCGCGCGGGGAAGGCCCGGUACCCCGCCCCUUCCGCACCGACCCCUCCCCCGCGGAGCUGGCCCCGGCCCCGGGCCUGUGGAGUGGACGCCGAGGGCGGCGGGCGGCUUCCGAGUUGGACAGAACGGGAGCUGCCGGCGGGAGCAGAGCUGCGAGGAGGUGGCCUUUGAGGGCAGCGCGGGGUCGAAAUCCCAUCCCAGCGCUGUGACCUCUUGGAGCCCACAUUGCCUCUUUGGUGGAGGGGAGGGAGUGGUCCAGCUCCGAGCCGAGCCUGGGAGCUGAAUGACCCAGUGUGCAAGGCGCACCUCGGAGACCGAAAGCAACCGCUCCCCCGGCUUCAAUUUCACACCACCUGCAGAUACACGUCUCAGAAUCUGCGGCUAGGAAGACCUGGGCCGCCAGAAGCUAAACGUGUGCAUUUUGUCAUCAGCCCCGGUUUCUCGUUUUAGAGUGAGUUCCCACCUGCCCUACCUAAACUGACCUGAAACGGAAAGUUGUAUGCCCCCACGACCAUCCUCACUGCAGAACUGCAGAGGGUUUUAAGCUCCUUAUUACCUGUUUCUUAUAAUCCUGUCCCUUUCCAGGCGAGUAUUUAUCGGAUAGUUCUACUUGUUUUAUCAAACUUCCUUUUCUUUUGACUUUAUAAAAAGCAAUGCCGGGAGGCUGAGGCGGGAGAAUCGCUUGAACCCGGGAGGCGGAGGUUGCAGUGAGCUGAGAUCUCGCCAUUGCACUCCAUUCUGGGCAACAAGAGCGAAACUCCGUCUCAAAAAAAAAAAACAAUGUUCGUCCUUAAAAUUAUGUGCAGAAGUUUACUGAAAAGUACAAGUUACUAUUUUUCCUUCUGAAGCACUCCUCACAGGUAACCCCUGUUAGUUUCACAGGUAACCUUAAAAUGCUUAACACAUAUUUGUUGAAUGAAUAAGUGCCCCCCAGUGAAUUUCCUUUGCCUGUACAAACAUAUAUGUACAUACCUUGCUUUUUCUAUUUAACAGUACACUUUUAUCAUUUAACAUCUGCGUGGUAUGGUACUCCAUCCGAUAACCAUCGGAUGUACUAUUAUUUAACCACUCCGCUAUUAAUAGACAUUCAUGCUGUUUAUAUUUUUUGGUUAUAAUAAACAUUGUUGCAGGCGGGAUCAUUGAACAACACAUGGAGUGUCUGACUCAAGCCUUGAGUUGUUUUUCCGGGAGCUGAGAAUCAGUGUGGUGAUAUCGAAAUAACAUGAGCUUGGAAUCUGAAGGUACUGGCUAGGGAGAAGAGCUGCUCAUGUGCUCCCGAUAGAAAGUCCCCCUUGGUCGGGAAGGUUAGGGCCAUCCUCUGACUCAGCAGUUUUAGGAAAUAGAGGGGGAGAAGGAAGGUAUGUACCUUCCUUCCACCAGGGAGGCACGCCCAGCCCUAACCAGCCAGCGAGGCAGUAGGUCCUCCUAGCUCAUCUUCACAACCUGGGCUGGUGUCGGGAAGACUUUCGUUCCAAUGCUAGCUUUGGAAUCCUGGCCUCCAUCCCUUAAAAGCUUUGUGAUCUUAGGUAAGUCACAUCACACUAUCUCAAAGCCCCCGUUUCCUCACAGAAUGGUUGUUUUAGAGUUAUGUUUGUAAAUUACCUGGCACAUGUAGGCAUGUGACAGACUGUAACCAAUGUUACUCAAGGUCAUUUUGCACUGAUUCAUACUUUGAGCCAUUUCCUACUGUAGACUCUAGCACACAUUUUCAAGGCAGCUUCCUGAUAAUAAGGCUGU
rnacentral:lncRNA from 1 species